UGGUCAGGGGAAUCACCAGAACAGGACACACAUCAUACUUAAAGGAGGCAUCUCGGAUCCUGCAGUCAGUGCGUCUCACUUCCUCCUUCCUUCCUUCUCUCCUCGAUACCAUGAAUCGUGGCGUGCGUCUGGUGAUGAUGGUGGUGGUGGUGGGUAUGGUGUGUAAGGGAAUCUCCGGCUGUAAAGACCUCGUCCCGCACCGAGAUCUAACAAACAUUCUACUCCUGCGCAUGGUGUGCCGUGACCCACACCCUGGAAGAUGUCCGAGAACUGCAUGCACUCUUCACUGGGCAGGAGGGGAACCAUCGGAAUGUGAGCAUGAUGGCCUUUGUCAUGAGCAUCAGAAAUGUUGCUAUGAAAUUUGCCUGGGGAAGAUGAUCUGCAUGACACCGGAACAUGAUUACUUUAAUUAAUGUCACCAUCUCUGCUACCACAGUCCAGACGGGAGAAGAAAUCGUUUUCAAAUUGCAGUCUGAAGUUUUAAAGUAUGUUUCUAUAGUUCCAGUUUAACAAGAAUCCACCAUUACUAGAGAGAAACACCCACGAGAACUCAACCAAACAUCUCAGUGGCCCUUGAAACAGUAUGAGAGAACAAGCAAGGUCUCUAAAUCUUGGGGUGGCUGGCUAAAAUGUAGACUUGGAGCCUUUUCUUUGUUGUUGCCUGUUAUUGCUUCACUGUGCGCGGGAGUGUCAGCUGAAUAAAUGCAUUGAAAAAUUAA
rnacentral:lncRNA from 1 species